CCCGCCACUGUGCCUGUCGUGUGACACGGGGACAGGUACAGUCCAGAGGUGAGCUGACAGAAAACGCCAGCUUAGGAAACAGGGUUAUUCUUUUGUGGGUAACUUUGUGCCGAAGGCUGGGGACAGGC
rnacentral:snoRNA from 1 species